UUUGUUUUUUUUCACCCCAUUUGAUAUAUUUAACAAAAAAUUGAAUCAAUUAAUCAUCCCAGCUAUAAUGACACUCUUCUAGUAUUUUCCAUCCCAAAAGCCAAAAGAAAAUGGCGGCCAUUUUUCCCUCUUCAAUUUUCACAUCUAAAAUCCUUAAAAAAAUGGCGGCCGUUUUAAGGGUUACUUUCUUUAAAUUUUGAAUCCCCCGCAGAUCUGAAGUUUUUAUAAAAUGGGAGCCAUCUCAUUCUCUUUAUUUCCCCCCAUCUAAAGAUGUAGAUAAAAUUGGGUGUUCACAAUCACAAAUUCGGUGUGAGAUCUUACGGCUUUUAUUCAAGGCUGUUUUGCAAAUCACUAUCAAACAUACAAUCGAUUCAUGUACUUGAAGAGCCACCUUAGCUUGGUAACAGAUGAAUGUUUUUGACCCUUUGUUUGAUUUCUUAGUCAGAUCGGUUUUCACAACUAUUCUAUUAUUAUUAUUUUUUAUUUUUAUAUAAAGUUACAAUAUCUCAUGACUUUUAUUUUGGUGCUUCUUUCAAUUACAGAUGUGGAUAUCACAAACAUGCUCCUUUUAUUAUUGAUUUUGUGUGGUAUCAAUGGUGAUAAUGUGUGUCUCGGUUUACUAACCUGGGUUUGUGUCUCAGUGUUUAUUUAUUUCUCCUAUUGAUAGAGAUUUUCAUAUUGUUGGUUAGAGAAAUGCUUAUAAAUGACGCUGCAUAUUUUUCCCAUCUCAAAGAUGUUAGUUUUUACUUUGCCCAUUUCUAUCAUUUAAGAUUCAUUGCUCUUAAGUGCAUGCAGGACUCAUAAGGUAAAAAGUGGCUUGCACAUCGUUGUACUACAAAAUAGUCUACUUGUAAUUACUUCAACUCAAGAAAUUGCUUGUUAUUAUUACAAGAAAUGGUGAAGUUUAUGCUCUUCAGCAACAAAUCUGCAGAUCCAGUUCAUAUGCAAACAAGUCUUUAUUGAGUAUUUUGAUAUAUAGUGAUGUAUUUGUAUCUAAUUUUGGGUUAUGAAAGUGUUUGGAAGACAAUGUAAUCUUUGUUUCUAGUAAUAAAGUUAUAGUUUGAGUUCUUA